rnacentral:tRNA from 1 species
GCACUAGUAGCUCAACUUUUAGAGCGCCGGCCUUGUAAGCCGGAGGCUGAAGGUUAAAUUCCUUCCUAAUGCU